GACGAACGCUGGCGGCGUGCCUAAUACAUGCAAGUCGAACGCAGUGGGGACGGGUGAGUAACACGUGGGUAACCUCCCAUCAGAGGGGAUAACACUUGGAAACAGGUGCUAAACCGAUACUGAUGGAUGGACCCGCGGUGCAUUAGCUAGUUGGUGAGGUAAAGGCUCACCAAGGCCACGAUGCAUAGCCGGCUGGAGAGGGUGAUCGGCCACACUGGGACUGAGAACAGGCCCAGACGCCCACGGGAGGCAGCAGUAGGGAAUCUUCGGAAAUGGAGGAAAGUCGGAACGAGCAAAGCCGCGUGAGUGAAGAAGGUUUUCGGAUCGUAAAACUCUGUUAAGCGGGACGCGGUACCGGAAUAGAAAGCCACGGCUAACUACGUGCCAGCAGCCGCGGUAAUAC
rnacentral:rRNA from 1 species